CUGAUGCGUUGUUGGGUAGGGGAGCGUUCUGUAAGCCUGCGAAGGUGUGCUGUGAGGCAUGCUGGAGGUAUCAGAAGUGCGAAUGCUGACAUAAGUAACGAUAAAGCGGGUGAAAAGCCCGCUCGCCGGAAGACCAAGGGUUCCUGUCCAACGUUAAUCGGGGCAGGGUGAGUCGACCCCUAAGGCGAGGCCGAAAGGCGUAGUCGAUGGGAAACAGGUUAAUAUUCCUGUACUUGGUGUUACUGCGAAGGGGGGACGGAGAAGGCUAUGUUGGCCGGGCGACGGUUGUCCCGGUUUAAGCGUGUAGGCUGGU
rnacentral:rRNA from 1 species